rnacentral:rRNA from 1 species
UAGAGUUUGAUCAUGGCUCAGGAUGAACGCUAGCGACAGGCCUAACACAUGCAAGUCGAGGGGCAUCGGGGCGAGGAGCAAUCCUUGCCGCCGGCGACCGGCGCACGGGUGAGUAACGCGUAUGCGACCUGCCCGUUGCAGGGGGAUAAUCGGGAGAAAUCCCGUCUAAUACCGCGUAAUGCCGCGGGGCUGCAUGGCCCUGCGGCCAAAGGGAGCGAUUCCGGCAACGGAUGGGCAUGCGUGACAUUAGCUAGUUGGCGGGGCAACGGCCCACCAAGGCGACGAUGUCUAGGGGUUCUGAGAGGAAGGUCCCCCACACUGGUACUGAGACACGGACCAGACUCCUACGGGAGGCAGCAGUGAGGAAUAUUGGUCAAUGGGCGCGAGCCUGAACCAGCCAAGUCGCGUGAGGGAUGACGGCCCUACGGGUUGUAAACCUCUUUUGUCGGGGAGCAAAUUCCGCCACGUGUGGCGGAGUCGAGAGUACCCGAAGAAAAAGCAUCGGCUAACUCCGUGCCAGCAGCCGCGGUAAUACGGAGGAUGCGAGCGUUAUCCGGAUUUAUUGGGUUUAAAGGGUGCGUAGGCGGACUGUCAAGUCAGCGGUAAAAUACGGGGGCUCAACCUCCGCCCGCCGUUGAAACUGACGGUCUUGAGUGGGCGAGAAGUAUGCGGAAUGCGUGGUGUAGCGGUGAAAUGCAUAGAUAUCACGCAGAACUCCGAUUGCGAAGGCAGCAUACCGGCGCCCAACUGACGCUGAAGCACGAAAGCGUGGGUAUCGAACAGGAUUAGAUACCCUGGUAGUCCACGCAGUAAACGAUGAAUACUAGCUGUCCGGGGCGAAUGAGCCCUGGGUGGCACAGCGAAAGCGUUAAGUAUUCCACCUGGGGAGUACGCCGGCAACGGUGAAACUCAAAGGAAUUGACGGGGGCCCGCACAAGCGGAGGAACAUGUGGUUUAAUUCGAUGAUACGCGAGGAACCUUACCCGGGCUCAAACGACACAGGAACGUACCUGAAAGGGUUCGGCUCUACGGAGCCUGUGUCGAGGUGCUGCAUGGUUGUCGUCAGCUCGUGCCGUGAGGUGUCGGCUUAAGUGCCAUAAUGAGCGCAACCCCCAUCGACAGUUGCUAACAGGUCAGGCUGAGGACUCUGUCGAGACUGCCGGCGCAAGCUGCGAGGAAGGCGGGGAUGACGUCAAAUCAGCACGGCCCUUACGUCCGGGGCGACACACGUGUUACAAUGGCAGGUACAGCGGGAAGCCACCUGGCGACAGGGAGCGGAACCCGAAAGCCUGUCUCAGUUCGGAUUGGAGUCUGCAACCCGACUCCAUGAAGCUGGAUUCGCUAGUAAUCGCGCAUCAGCCACGGCGCGGUGAAUACGUUCCCGGGCCUUGUACACACCGCCCGUCAAGCCAUGGAAGCCGGGGGUGCCUGAAGUGCGCUGCCGCGAGGAGCGCCCUAGGGUAAAACCGGUGACUGGGGCUAAGUCGUAACAAGGUAACCGUA